rnacentral:rRNA from 1 species
GCUUGUCUCAAAGAUUAAGCCAUGCAUGUCUUAGUGUAAAUAACUCUUAUGAAACUGCGAAUGGCUCAUUAAAUCAGUUAUCAAAUACGUGAUGGUCGCCUACUACAUGGAUAACCGUAGUAAUUCUAGAGCUAAUACAUGCACAAAGGCCCACUCACGUGGGUUGUGAUUAUUAGAUUCAAACCGGCCUCGUUCUGGUGAUUCAUAAUAACUUUACGGAGCCCAUGGUCUUGCGCCGGGGCCAGGUCAUUCAAAUUUCUGCCCUAUCAGCUUUCGAUGGUAGUGUAGUGGACUACCAUGGCUUCAACGGGUGACGGAGAAUUAGGGUUCGAUUCCGGAGAGGGAGCCUGAGAAACGGCUACCACAUCCAAGGAAGGCAGCAGG